UACGUAGGGCGCAAGCGUUGUCCGGAAUUAUUGGGCGUAAAGAGCUCGUAGGCGGCUUGUCACGUCGGGUGUGAAAGCCCGGGGCUUAACCCCGGGUCUGCAUUCGAUACGGGCAGGCUAGAGUGUGGUAGGGGAGAUCGGAAUUCCUGGUGUAGCGGUGAAAUGCGCAGAUAUCAGGAGGAACACCGGUGGCGAAGGCGGCGACCUGGGUAGAUACUGACGCUGAGGUGCGAAAGCGUGGGGCGCAAACAGG
rnacentral:rRNA from 1 species